rnacentral:rRNA from 1 species
GAUGAACGCUGGCGGCGUGCUUAAUACAUGCAAGUCGAACGGAGACAAUAGCAAUAUUGUCUUAGUGGCGAACGGGUGAGUAACGCGUUGGUGACCUGCCCCGAAGAGGGGGAUAACAGUCCGAAAGGAUUGCUAAUACCCCAUGUGGUCAUAUGGAUUAGAUGCCUAAUGACUAAACGGAUUUAUUCGCUUCGGGAGGGGCCUGCGUCCCAUCAGCUAGUUGGUAAGGUAAUGGCUUACCAAGGCGAUGACGGGUAGGGGACCUGAGAGGGUGGCCCCCCACAAUGGAACUGAAACACGGUCCAUACACCUACGGGUGGCAGCAGUAGGGAAUAUUGGUAAUCUGGGAAACCGGGAACCAGCAACGCCGCGUGCACGAUGAAGGCCUUCGGUCGUAAAGUGCUUUUUGUAAGGGAUGAGGAAGGACAGUACCUUCAGAAUAAGCCUCGGCUAACUACGUG